GACUGUGAUUUCAAAGGACUGUAGGUCACAAGUUGCCCUACUGAAUAGGAACAGAUUGAAAAGCUACUCUGAAAAAUUAUCUAAGAUCUCAGCUCCACUGUCACAUCCACAAAGAAGCUUCACUGACCAACCAGCUUGUAGAAGGGGUCUCCUCUGACACUCCCACCUUCAUGACAAUUUUACAGCAUUCAACAUGCUAGAGCAAGAUGAACAAAAUUCAAACACUCCUUUGACACUGAGUGAAUCCACUUAUUUCAGAGAUCCUCCUUAUAUGCAAGAGGAACAAGAGAAGAAUAAACAGGC